UACGAGGGGGGCAAAUGUUGUUCGGAAUCACUGGGCGUAAAGGGAGCGUAGGCGGGUUUCUAAGUCAGGUGUUUAAUCCCGGGGCCCAACCCCGGACAGGUACUUGAAACUGGGAAUCUUGAAUAGUGGAGAGGUCAGUGGAAUUGGGGGUGUAGCGGUGGAAUGCGUAGAGAUCCCCAAGAACACCAGUUGCGAAGGCGGCUGACUGGACACAUAUUGACGCUGAGGCUCGAAAGCAUGGGGAGCAAACAGG
rnacentral:rRNA from 1 species